UAAAUGUAUAACUUCCAGGCCAGGCUCCAUUCUGUUUCAACAAUAAGUUCUGAACCUUGGGAAAGGUGCUGAGAAAUGAACUUUGGUUUUCGCCACAAUCCAUCUGGAGCAUUCUGUGACGACACUGACUUUGAAGUUAGGCUGACCUGGCCAAUCCUACCGCUCACCAGCUUGGACAUGGCCUCACCCAGCUUCUCCUGCAGUUUAAUGUGGCUAUGAGACUGAGCUUUGGCCAACAGAAUGUGAACGAAUAUGAUACGAGCCAUCACCGUGCAUCCUUUUUUAUUCCCUGUCCUCUUCUGGCGGCCUGUGGUGGCAGCCCCAGAUGACUACUGAAACCACAUAUUCAAGAUGGCGGAAUCGCUAUCAGCCUGGAUUCCUGAAUGAGUGUGGAGCAGAGCCACUCCACCCGCAAACCUUCAACAUGCUCUUCAUUUGCCACCUAGCUGGAGUGUUACAUACUGAUAUGACAAAAAAAAAAAAAAAAAAUGUUAUUGUGCCAAGCCCUUGCAAAUUUGGAUCUGUUUGCUACCACAGUCGAGCUUAAACUACUACAUAUCUGAUCCACAUAAUGCUAAAAUUUUGAAAGCCUAUUGCCCAGAGAUCUAUUAAAUCUUUAGUGCAAAC